GCAAGUCGAGCGGCAGCGACAUGAUCAAAAGCUUCGGGUGCGCUUAUGGGCGGCGAGCGGCGGACGGGUGAGUAAUGCCUGGGAAUAUGCCCUGAUGUGGGGGAUAACCAUUGGAAACGAUGGCUAAUACCGCAUAAUCUCUUCGGAGCAAAGAGGGGGACCUUCGGGCCUCUCGCGUCAGGAUUAGCCCAGGUGGGAUUAGCUAGUUGGUGAGGUAAAGGCUCACCAAGGCGACGAUCCCUAGCUGGUCUGAGAGGAUGAUCAGCCACACUGGAACUGAGACACGGUCCAGACUCCUACGGGAGGCAGCAGUGGGGAAUAUUGCACAAUGGGGGAAACCCUGAUGCAGCCAUGCCGCGUGUAUGAAGAAGGCCUUCGGGUUGUAAAGUACUUUCAGCAGUGAGGAAGGUGGUGUCGUUAAUAGCGGCAUCGCUUGACGUUAGCUGCAGAAGAAGCACCGGCUAACUCCGUGCCAGCCG
rnacentral:rRNA from 1 species